GACGAACGCUGGCGGCGUGCUUAACACAUGCAAGUCGAGCGGUAAGUCCUUUCGGGGUACCCCAGCGGCGCACGGCUGAGUAACACGUGGGUUAUCUGCCCUGCACUUCGGCAUAAGCCUGGGCAACUGCCUCUUAUUCCCGAUAUGCCCUCCUAUCGCAUGCUGUGUGUUGGCCCGCUUUAUCGGUGCAGGUUGGUCCCGCGGCCUAUCAGCUUGUUGGUGGGGUAAUGCCCUUCCAAGGCGAUGACGGGUAGCCGACCUGAGAGGGUGACCGGCCACACUCGGAGGGAGAAACAGCCAGACUAGAACGGGAGGCAAGAGUGGGGAGUAGUGCACAAUGGGAGAAAGGAUGAUGCAGCGAAGCAGCGUGAGGGAUGAGGGCAAUGGGGUUGUGAACCACAGUCAGCAGGGACGGAACGAAAGUGACGGUACCUGCAGAAGAAGCACCGGCUAACUACGUG
rnacentral:rRNA from 1 species